rnacentral:rRNA from 1 species
GACGAACGCUGGCGGCGUGCUUAACACAUGCAAGUCGAACGAUGAACCCGGAGCUUGCUCCGGUGGAUUAGUGGCGAACGGGUGAGUAACACGUGAGUAACCUGCCCUUGACUCUGGGAUAACUGCGGGAAACUGUAGCUAAUACCGGAUACGACCCUCGGCGGCAUCGCCAGAGGGUGGAAAGAAUUUCGGUCAAGGAUGGACUCGCGGCCUAUCAGCUAGUUGGUGAGGUAACGGCUCACCAAGGCGACGACGGGUAGCCGGCCUGAGAGGGUGACCAGCCACACUGGGACUGAGACACGGCCCAGACUCCUACGGGAGGCAGCAGUGGGGGAUCUUGCGCUAAUGCGCGAAAGCGUGACGCAGCGACGCCGCGUGGGGGAUGAAGGCCCUCGGGUUGUAAACCCCUUUCGGCAGGGACGAAGCGAAAGUGACGGUACCUGCAGAAGAAGUCCCGGCUAACUACGUGCCAGCCGCCGCAGUAA